UAAAACACUGGUCCCUAUACGAUCACUGAAGUUAAGCAACAUCAAGCCCAUUCAGUACCUAGAUGGGUGACUGCUUAGGAAUACCAGGUACUGUAAG